rnacentral:rRNA from 1 species
UAUCCCGCCUGGGGAGUACGCCCGCAAGGCUCAAACUCAAAGGAAUUGACGGGGGCCCGCACAAACGCUGGAGCAUAUGGUUUAAUUCGAAGCAACGCGCAGAACCUUACCUGGGCUUGAAAUCCCCGGACCGCCAUGGAAACAUGGUGUCCUCUUCGGAGACCGGGUGACAGAUGCUGCAUGGCUGUCGUCAGCUCGCGUCGUGAGAUGAUUGGGUUAAGUCCCGCAACGAGCGCAACCCUCGUCGUUAGUUGCCAUCAUUAAGUUGGGCACUCUAGCGAGACUGCCGGUGUCAAACCGGAGGAAGAUGGGGAUGAUGUCAAGUCCUCAUGGCCCUUAUGUCCAGGGCUACACACGUGCUACAAUGGCAGGUACAAAGAGCAGCGAACUCGCGAGGGCAAGCGAAUCUCUCUCAGCCUGUCUCAGUACGGACUGGAGGCAGCACUUAGACGACAUCAAUGCGGACGCAUUAGUAAUCGCGGAUCAGCAUGCCGCGGUGNAUACGUUCCCGGGCCUUGUACACACCGCCCGUCACACCAUAGGAGUUGGCUACUCCAGAAGUCG